CCUAAAAAAAGCCUCAACUUAUCAACUCUCUCUCUCCAUGCCCCGCGAACGGCGCUCACCAUGGAGGCUAAAAGACUCUCGAUCGUCGGCCACCGACCUAACGGUGGCUGUCCCCGCUCCGGUCGACCUUCCACCCGGCCAAAGGGGACUACACGACCUCCUAAGGAACCUCGAAAGCUUCUCCUCUCAGCAUUGAACCCGAAACCCAUGACUCACAACGACGAUACCACCUCCUCCUACGGCGAGAAGACAGCGAGGUAAAACCACUCUUAUCUUUUACGUUUUUUUAUUAAUAUGCUAUUUGAUUUCGAAGAGAAAAAAAAUAAAAUGAAAAAUAAAGCUGAAAAUAAACGAAAAACCAAAUGGAAGAGAACAUUUGCUGUGUUUUUAUUUCCAAUUCUCUUUGUAUCCUCUGUCCUUUUUACACUGUAAUUUUUAUGGGUUAUAUAUUAACCCAUUUACAUGCUUAAAAAAAUGAUGAUUGUUGUUUGUUUGGUGGUGAGCUGGAGCCGGGACGUGGAGGGACAGCUGGUGUUGCUGGAACGUUGAGCAAGGGAGACCAUGGCUUGGUUGCCGGCGACGUGGAGCUGCUAGAGGCCACGGGUGGAGCUGGGCUGCUGGCAACUGCUGUGUGGAGCGGGGAACCAGCUGUUGUUGCUGGAAGCUGCUGGAACGUGGAGGUUUGGUUGGAGUCCUUCUGCCAAAGUCCACUUGAAUCGCAUGGGCAGAAAGCGAUUUGAUGGCAGUUUACUUUCUCCAAAUAUUCCAGCUUUGGGAAUUGUAUUUGAAGCUCUUUCCAGUUCAUCUUUAUACUAGCCAAGUACUUCAAACGUAAAAUCUUCACUUUCCAUUUCUUGUCAAUUUGACCUAGGCUAGUCAGUGCUCCUCCUCUGAUAUAGAGACGCUCAAGGCAUUCCAGAGUCUCGGGGACCAGCCAUUGAGGGGGUUCUCUUCCUGGGUAACAUUGGAGUUCUAACUUUAUCAACUUCUUCAUCUCCGGUUUUGAUGACGGUGCGUCACUUGCCUGCUGCUUGGUAUAUUUGAUUGCACUUGCCUGCUUCUGCUUCUUGGUUCUGAAGGUUCUCAAACAUGGAGAAAGUAGUAGCCUCUGGAUGUAAUAAGUCAUAGUCGUUGACGUUGAUGCUGAGCUUAACCAGGUGUUUCAGCUUCUUCAAGUCGUCGAGAGUGCAAGGGCUUUUUCUACUGAUUACAAAACCCUCGAGGACUUUGAGAUCUGAAAGCUGGGACAAUUGCUUGGGGAUGUUGUUCAGCAAAAAGCACUCGGAUAAAUCCAAAUAAGCAAGUUUGUUGAGUGAACCGACCUCUCUCGGGAGUUUCUCCAAAUUAUGACAAGCUCUAAGAUCUAAGACCCUCAGGUUCUGGAGUUUGGCAAGACACCCCCGGAGCUUGGAGAUUCCGGAGAUUCCUUGGAGACUAAGAAACCUUAGCUUGUUCAUAUUCUUCAACCCUCUUAGAAAAUCCUUGUUCCCCACCUGUAUAUGGUGCUCGGCACUGCACAUCCAGCUUCCCAAAUAAAGCACUCGUAUUUUUUUCAUCUUUGAAAACAACUCUUCGGGCAGAUUGAGGAACUGCUUACUCACAUUGAACAACGUUUCUAGCUUUUCCAGAUAUGCUACUCUCUUCUUCUCUUCCUCCCCCUGCGCCUUCUUCUUCUCCCGUUUUACUCUCUUCUUCUCUCCAGCCUGCGCCUUCUUCUUCUCCAAUUCUACACUCCUCUUCUCUUCUGCCUCCGCUGUCUGCUUCUGCUCCGCAUUCGGAUCAAACUCCUUUGGAAGUGGAAGCUUCUUAGACCACCAAGAAGGUCCUUGGGAUUUGACCAGGCAUAUUUUCUUGCCUUUGAAGAAAUUUUUGUCGGGGUAUCCCUUGGGAUAGAAACUAAAGAAGUUAGCCUCCUUAGCAAGCCUGAUGACGAGACAACGGAUAAUGGGAUGCAUUCUAUAGCUUGUAACCAGUGGCACGCUUUUCUUGGUAGCAGGCUCAAUGAAUCCCAUCUCCACAAAUUUUGGGAGAAUUUAAUUAACCGAAGGCUUUUCGUCUGGCUUUGUUGAUGACGGUGACAACAACCUUUCCCCUUCCCACCAACACCGUAGAAGCCUCUUCUUCACCACGGCAUUCUCUGGUAAAAUGGCGAAACAUAACAAGCACAGCUUGUGCCUCUCAUCAAGACCGUUGCAAUGCUCUUCAAACUCUUUCAGGAAAGUCUUGCUCUCAAAUAUUCCAUAGGCUUCGUACGGACUAGGUAGCACCUCUGUUCAAGGAUUUGUAAACGGAAUAUAUAAUUAACCUCGUGUCGCUAUAUACAUAUAAGAACUAAUUAACUAAA